UGAACCGCCCAGCUUUCCAAUCACUGCAUGGCAUCUUUUAGUACAAGUUGUAAAGGACGAAGCACAUGUUGAAUCAUAUCAAGAUGCCGCGCAAAUCAACAUAGACGAUCCAUUAUAAAGAGUUAAAAGGAAAAAGCUCAACAAGUAGACGCAUUAUUCCUUUAAUCAGUGGCUAACUUUUGUUACCGCCAACCAAAAUGGUUAAAAAAAACAAAAAAAAAAAACACAGGCUUUAUAGACAGUUUCUCUAAAAAUGUUUCAGAGACAAUGUAGCCUUCGAUAUUGUUUGGCAUCCAUAAUUUAUGUGUGCUAGUUCAAUCGAUUCUCCAAGUGUCCGUCCAUCCACUAAAUAUAGAGGACAGAGAAAUGAAACUCUAUGGUGGCUGUCAAGCUUUAACUGAAUGAAUCGCAGCAGCAGUACUUUGAACAACCCCAAUGAAACAUUUUCUUCCUUUUAAUUACAUUAAGAUCGAAAGUUUGGGCAGAGAGCCAUGGCAAAAUAUGCUGCACGAUUGAUCGUUCCCAUAGAUGUCAAAAAGAAGCCAUGGGAGCAGAAACUUCCACUUCACAACCGGUGGCACCCAGACAUACCAGUAGUCGCAUAUAGGUAACAGUGGGAGAGCUUUCCGGGGUUGAGAUGGUGGAUUUCAGUGGAGAUGGAAUCACGAUGGAAUACGCCACAGAGGACAUCAAGAACGCUGAUCCCUCUACCGUGAGUUGUAGCUACCUUCUUACUAUUUCCGUAGUUUUCAAUUUCUCUACUCUACAUGUAACCAUAUCAUUUCGUGGUUUCUGUCUAGGAAUUGCUUGAAAGGCAUUUCAUUAAAAAAAAAAAAUCUAAGAGCAAACGAUGAUGCAGAUAUAUAAAGCCUAAGUCCGAACUUCAAAAGUAGUAGUAGGAGGAGUCAGAAAUCCAAGACAACAAAGAUACAGAACCUGAAUCAUGUACUCCUACUAAUUAUACAAAUCAUGUACUCCUACUAAUUAUACAAGUUAACUCCUCUUCCAACGAUGUUGUUUGGUUAACCUAAUAAUUUUACGACAAAAGAUCACAUUCUCAAGCUCUCUGCAUCUCCACUGGUGUAUUAAUUAUGGCUCCUUCAACCGCAAGACUAGUACUGCCAACAGACUUGAAGAAGCAGCCUUGGGAGCAAAAACUCCCUAUCCACAACCGUUGGUCCCGAAAUACCACCGGUUGCAGAGGUUAAAGCUGGAGAGGUCUUUCCAGUAGAGAUGGUAGACUGGACCGGAGGUAUGAUCGAUCGAGGAUGAUGAUUCUGCAGUUGAUGUAAAAACCGUUGACCUAUCAACUGUUCAUUAUCUCAGUUUCCCAAUCAGAGUUUUGGACAAGGAUGAGAACCCAGCAAAGCCAGGUGAUCUUCUUGCUGUUGAAAUAUGCAACUUGGGUCCUCUCCCUCGAGAUGAAUGGGGUUUUGCAGCAUAUCAUUUGACACAGAAAAUGGAGGUGGUUCCUUGACCGGCCAUUUUCCUUGUGCAACCAAAGCUAUUUGGUCUAAUUUUGAAGGAAUAUAUGCCUAUUCGCCUCAAAUACCAUCAACAAAGGGAUAAAGUUUAUUUGAUAACUGAUAUAGAGAAUACAAUGGUGUUUCUCACAGAUGUAUCUUUUGCUAUCAUGCUGUCCAUGUGUAGGAAGGAUUUCUGGAAUAGUCGAUUCUCCUAAUGCUGGUGCGACCUUUGCAGUCCCAAUUAACAGCUAUCUGUGAUCAGGUAGUUAAUUCACAUCCUAUCUCCAGAUUAACAUACAUUCUCAAAUAGAAUGUAUGAAGUUCUAUUAUCUGGUACCCAAGGGAGAAUUGAACUGAAGAGCUAUGCUAUUCCUUACCGUAAUCCCAGACACUCUACUGAUGCGAACCCCAGUUGACUGGAUUGCUCACCUAUUCAAACAAUCACAGCAUAUAAGAGUUUACUUGUAACCUGCAUGAACCUUUGUAUAUCUUCACAGCAAACAAGAAUCCUCAUAAUGGAAAAGCAAGGAAUAGUAGUUAUCAGCAGCGAAGAUUUGAAGACAGGAAAAUGUCAUGACUUUGCGUCCUUUGUGAUUGAUCUCCUGGGUUUUGAAAUGGUGUUGGAUGAGUGCACUGUGCAGGAUAUUCGAUCAAGUGAAAGGAUAAUGUGUUGAUAACUUGAUAUAUAUAAAAAAGUGAAAAAAAAUAAAUUUAAGACUUUUUAAAAUAUUUAAAAAUAAAGUAACAAGGGGAUGUUAGCUCCUUUGAACCUUUUGUAUUAAA